GGCCAAUCCAAUUAUCAUGCCA
rnacentral:siRNA from 1 species